GAUGAACGCUGGCGGCGUGCCUAAUACAUGCAAGUCGAGCGAACGGACGAGAAGCUUGCUUUUCUGAUGUUAGCGGCGGACGGGUGAGUAACACGUGGAUAACCUACCUAUAAGACUGGGAUAACUUCGGGAAACCGGAGCUAAUACCGGAUAAUAUUUUGAACCGCAUGGUUCAAAAGUGAAAGACGGUCUUGCUGUCACUUUUAGAUGGAUCCGCGCUGCAUUAGCUAGUUGGUAAGGUAACGGCUUACCAAGGCAACGAUGCAUAGCCGACCUGAGAGGGUGAUCGGCCACACUGGAACUGAGACACGGUCCAGACUCCUACGGGAGGCAGCAGUAGGGAAUCUUCCGCAAUGGGCGAAAGCCUGACGGAGCAACGCCGCGUGAGUGAUGAAGGUCUUCGGAUCGUAAAACUCUGUUAUUAGGGAAGAACAUAUGUGUAAGUAACUGUGCACAUCUUGACGGUACCUAAUCAGAAAGCCACGGCUAACUACGUG
rnacentral:rRNA from 1 species